rnacentral:rRNA from 1 species
CGCCCAGACUCCUACGGGAGGCAGCAGUGGGGAAUAUUGCACAAUGGGGGGAACCCUGAUGCAGCGACGCCGCGUGAGUGAAGAAGUCUUUCGGUAUGUAAAGCUCUAUCAGCAGGGAAGAAAGAAAUGACGGUACCUGACUAAGAAGCCCCGGCUAACUACGUGCCAGCAGCCGCGGUAAUACGUAGGGGGCAAGCGUUAUCCGGAUUUACUGGGUGUAAAGGGAGCGUAGACGGCGAUGCAAGUCUGAAGUGAAAGGCGGGGGCCCAACCCCCGGACUGCUUUGGAAACUGUAUAGCUGGAGUGCAGGAGAGGUAAGUGGAAUUCCUAGUGUAGCGGUGAAAUGCGUAGAUAUUAGGAGGAACACCAGUGGCGAAGGCGGCCUGCUGGACGGUGACUGACGCUGAGGCUCGAAAGCGCGGGGAGCAAACAGGAUUAGAUACCCGGGUA